UCAGACCCGUGGCAAAUAGCUCAGUAGCACGUGGCCAAUCUACCCUCCGGAUCAGCACACCCUCGGGAAACUGAGGCCAAUUCUGUAUACGGCUCCCGACCUGGAAUGGUGGGAGCCCGAAACGCUCCGGCGCCGGAGGAUGAGGCUGCGGCCGAUUAGGUUGACGGUGGGGUAAUGGCCCACCGUGCCGAUAAUCGGUCUGGGUCAUGAGAGUGAGAACCCAGAGACGGAAUCUGAGACAAGAUUCCGGGCCCUACGGGGCGCAGCAGGCGCGAAACCUUUACACUGCACGCCAGUGCGAUAAGGGGACCCCAAGUGCGCAGGCAUAGUGCCUGCGCUUUUCUGGACUGUAGGGCGGUCCAGGAACAAGGGCUGGGCAAGACCGGUGCCAGCCGCCGCGGUAAUACCGGCAGCCCAAGUGAUGGCCGCUGUUAUUGGGCCUAAAGCGUCCGUAGCUGGCCGCACAAGUCCGUCGGGAAAUCCGCCCGCUCAACGGGCGGCCGUCCGGCGGAACCUGUGUGGCUUGGGACCGGGAGGCCUGAGGGGUACGAUCGGGGUAGGAGUGAAAUCCUGUAAUCCCGCUCGGACCGCCGAUGGGGAAACCACCUCAGGAGAACGGAUCCGACAGUGAGGGACGAAAGCCAGGGUCUCGAACCGGAUUAGAUACCCGGGUAGUCCUGGCCGUAAACGAUGCUUGUUAGGUGUGACUCCCACUACGAGUGGGUGUUGUGCCGUAGGGAAGCCG
rnacentral:rRNA from 1 species